rnacentral:rRNA from 1 species
GCGGUAACACCGGCAGCUCGAGUGGUAGCUGUUUUAUUGGGCCUAAAGCGUUCGUAGCCGGUUAAUAAGCUUGGUGAAAGCUGUAGCUUAACUAUAAGAAUUGCUGGAGAUACUAUUAGACUUGAAGUCGGGAGAGGUUAGAGGUACUACCGGGGUAGGGGGUGAAAUCCUAUAAUCCUGGGAGGACCACCUGUGGCGAAGGCGUCUAACUGGAACGAUCUUGACGGUGAGUAACGAAAGCCAGGGCGCGAACCGGAUUAGAUACCCGGGUAGUCCUGGCCGUAAACGAUGUGGACUUGGUGUUGGAAUGGCUUUGAGUUGUCCGGUGCCGAAGGGAAGCUGUUAAGUCCACCGCCUGGGAAGUACGGUCGCAAGAUUGAAACUUAAAGGAAUUGGCGGGGGAGCACCACAACGCGUGGAGCCUGGCGGUUUAAUUGGAUUCAACGCCGGACAUCUCACCAGGAGCGACAGCUGUAUGAUAAUCAGGUUGAUGACCUUAUUUGACUAGCUGAGAGGAGUGGUGCAUGG